rnacentral:rRNA from 1 species
CAAAAACAUCGCCUCUUGCAAAAACGAAGAAUAAGAGGUCCCGCCUGCCCUGUGACUAUAAGUUUAACGGCCGCGGUAUUUUGACCGUGCGAAGGUAGCGCAAUCACUUGUCUCUUAAAUGGAGACCUGUAUGAAUGGCACGACGAGGGCUUGACUGUCUCCCCCCUCAAGUCAAUGAAAUUGAUCUCCCCGUGCAGAAGCGGGGAUACCUACAUAAGACGAGAAGACCCUAUGGAGCUUUAGACACCAAAGCAGCCCAUGUUAAACACCCCCGGCUAUGGGGCUAAACUGAUUGGAACCUGCCCUACUGUCUUUGGUUGGGGCGACCGCGGGGAAAGAUAAAACCCCCAUGUGGAAUGGGAGAAAUACCUCCUAAAACCAAGAGCUACAACUCUAAGGAUCAGAAAUUCUGACCAUUAUGAUCCGGCAAAGCCGAUCAACGAACCAAGUUACCCUAGGGAUAACAGCGCAAUCCCCUUCUAGAGUCCAUAUCGACAAGGGGGUUUACGACCUCGAUGUUGGAUCAGGACAUCCUAAUGGUGCAGCCGCUAUUAAGGGUUCGUUUGUUCAACGAUUAAAGUCCUACGUGAUCU